CGGCUGUCGGCGCAGUUCGGUGUCUUCGGGUGUCUGAGCUGGGAGCGUUUGGUCCCUCGCGGGGAGGUGUUCCGUAAUGGCUCGGCCUCCGGAAAGAGCUUCAGUGUACUUUUCACCUUGACAGUUGGGCCGCCACCGGGAUCUGCAGCCAUUUAAACACGCUUUCCCGCACCUGUGCACGUAAAUUAUGAAAGUUGAUCCUUCUGAUGUCCCACGCACCCCAAAAAGUUCUCCCGGGAUGGCCUUCCGGACUGCUGCUGGAUGCAGUGAUGUCCCUGGCGCCGCUCAGUCUAGCAGCUGCGCAGGCUGUCUUAGCCAAUAAAGCUGGUGUUAGAACUGCAAAAGCCACGGGGGGUGGGGGGGCGGCUAUCUUGCGUUUCCUGUGGUUGCACCAAACUGUAUAUUAGUAGAGGUAAUGGCAUUAACAUGCUUUUCGUCUGCACACCCUAUGUAUGAUACAAGCCUCUUAUGAAGCAGUCCGGGAUUCAGACCCAGGUGAAACUCCUUGUCACCGUUAACAUUAGACAUUGGCAUUAAUUUGCUCAGCUGCAUGGCUUCAUUAAAUUGGGCAAGUGUUUUACUUUAAAUAUUUGUGAACACAAUCUUGUACAUUAGCAUUCCUAGAUUUAAAUUUGCAACCAUCUUUUCUGAUACCUGUAUGCAUUGGGAAUAUAAAAGGCUCUCUAUACAUUUUUGCUGAACGAUUUUUGUGGCUUUCAAGAUGAUUUUCUUUCAGGCCACAUUUUUUUUUUUUUUUUUAAUAAAUCGCUGGCUGCUAGUCAAACGAAAGUUACACCAAAUAUCAUGAGUUUACGGAUAUUUAAUUUUGUGAGGAGUAAUGAACAUUUUAACCCUAACCCUAACCCUAACCUGCAAAGUGUCCAUGCAGUAGUCAAAUGUAGCUAGUCAUGUGUAUCAUCAAACUGCUACUGGCUAAGGCAUUUCCCUUCCAUGAGCCUAAAAGCAAGGAUAUCACCCUGGAGAUAAGCAUUGUGAUAAUGUGCAGGCCAAGUCCCCACUCUUGGUGUAGAACCCCUUAGUCAUUGCUCAAGAGGAGUGACGUGAAUGUGAGUACCUUUAAUUUCAUGUCUUUUGUCUCUUGUGACUAUACUUAAAAUGAAUUAUCUACAUUAGAAAGGUGUUUAAAACUGAUGGGGCCAUCCUCUUAUCUAAAAGUAGUAGUUUUAUGUGGAAUUCUCACUUUAAGAAACCUAAUUUUAGGUUUCUUACAACCCUAAACAACAAAACAGAAGGAAAUCAUUUAUUCCUCAAAUUGGGUAGUUGUCUAAUUUUAUACUUUUAUUUAUUUAAAGGAAUCAGUUUAUCUUAGCUCUAUUGCACACAUGGUGACUAAGGUUAAUAGUAUUGUAUUCUUGAAAAACUUAAAAUGCUUGAAUGCAUGUAAAUUAUUCUUAUCACAAUAUGUUAAUUAUGUAUGGCAACUCACUUUUCAAUAACCUAGAUUUAGUCGUUCCACGGUGUAUGUGUAUGUUAGGUUAUAUUCUGUAAAUACAUACAAUUUUAUGUCAGUGUAAAAAAGCUACACUUUUUAAAAAGAUUCUAUUUUUUUUUAAAUACAGGAACUAUAUGUAGGCAUAUUAGCAUUAGCGAUGCCUGAACAGUUUUUAUCAGAGUAAGAAAAUUUAAAUUCUUAAAGAUGAACACAUGAACUCAUUGUCUGAAGGGAUUGUGAUAUUUGCAGUAUUUAAUUAAGAACAAUAUGGGUGUUAAUUUUAACUAAAAAAAGUAAACUAUUAUUUGAUAAGGAACACUUUCCUAAGCAUGUACAAGGCUAUAAUCAUAAUUCUCUGAAACUGUUAUCAGUAGACAGAGCCUCUCUGUUCCUUUCUUAUCAGCCCCUUCAAGUUCUAAACGUCCUAUGUGCAAACACUGAAAUUUGAGGGAAGUUUGUAUUUGCUUUUAUUUGUUUGCUUGUCAGGAGUGGUUGACUUUAAGAGUUAGUCUACAUUUAUUGGACUUUUGUUAGCUUUUGGUGUGUGUUGUGGGUGGUUAACUUCUAAUCUAGUACUAAGUUUUGAUAUAAGAUACACAAAAGUCUAAAAGAGUUGAUUCUUGAUCUAUGUGCAGGUAAAUGCUCUAAUACAAACCUCUAUUUUUCUUGACUUUGCAACAAAGGCAUAAAGUAGUAUUCAACUUAAAUACUACAAAGAAUAAUUUUAAAUAUAAGAAUUAACAUUUUUGAGGCUUUUAAGAGUAUGUUUUUAUUCUUGCUUUUUUCUUUUGUUUAUCCUGUAAAUGUAUUCAUAGGGGCUGGUGAGAUGGUUCAGCAGUUAAGAGCACUUGCAGCUCUUCCAGAGGACAUAGACUUGAUUCCCAGCACCCGCAUGUCAAAUUUUAAACUGUAACUCCAGUUCUAGGGGAUCUAAUGCCCUCUUCCAGCCUUCUGUGGCACCUAACCACCUGACAUGCACACGGUGUACAGACAUACAUGUAGGCAAAAUAUCAAGACUAAUAAAAUAGUAAUGAAAAUAUUUUAAGAGCAUGUAUUCAUGAAUAACAUUUGGUUUUAUGUGCUUUUGCACAUGAUUAAAAACUGAAAGCUUUUCACAUUUUAAAAUGAGUCUAUUUCUACAGCUAUACAACAUUCCAUUGGAUGGAUAUACAAAUUAUUCAUCUUGCUACUAAUGGUCUGUGUUGUUUCCUGUCCUUUGUUGGUGUAGUCAUUCUUCCAACAGUCCUCAGUGGCGUAUAAGGUCGAGACUGUUCUGCUUUCCUGGGGGAUGCCAUGCUGCAUCAGCAUUAGCUUAUGUCAUCACAAGGGGUCAUGCCACAUUCUUGCCAGUCUUCUAUCAUCUUUUGCUGCUCUAUUCUAGCAAAAAAUAUUCUAGUUUGGGGCUUGCUUUUCAUUUUCUUUCAUUUUCCUGAUGAGAUGAACAUAUUCACAUGUGACCAUUGGCCAGGAGGAGUUCUUCAUCUGUGAACUCUUUGGUCAUGUCUUCUCUAUGUUUUCUCUUUGCUUUUUUUUGGCAUUUCUUACUGUGUCCAUAGGAGUUCUUCAUAUAUUCUGCAUCUUAUUUUUGUGGGGGUGUAUGUGUGACAAAUUUAAUAAGAUUUCUUUACUUUUACUUCAGCCUAGUUCCCUUUUCUUUACUUGCUUGUUUCUUUGUUUUCUUAUCAUUUUGGUUUUGUGUUCUUUCCAUGGAAUCUGAUAAGGCUGUAGAUCCAGCUUUGAAGGUAAUGUUCCCAUUAGGAAUUUGUAUAUUUGACCAAAUCAAGCAAAACCAGGUGACUAGAGAAAUAGGAAGUUCCAGCUUCCUCUCAGACACAAAUAAUCACCACCACCUACCACCACCACCCCCAAUGAUAGUAAUAUCCCCUUUACCCUUUUCUUUUAAGACAGAUUCUCACUAUAUAUUCCCUGACUGGUCUGAGACUCACUAUAUAGAGUUCAGUCUAGCCUUGAACUCAGAGAUCUGCCCGUCACAGCCUCAGAGUGCUGGGAUUAAAAAUGUAUGCUACCACAACUGGCCCCUCACUUUUUUUUAUUAAAAUUAUUUUUGCUAUUCUAUUGUGGAAUAGUUUUUUAAAAUACCAUAUAUCUUAGUUUUCAUUUAACAAUUGUCUUAGUUUGGGUUUUAAUGCUGUUCAGAGACACUGUGACCACAGCAACUCUUACAAAAGAAAAUAUUUAAUUGGGGCUAGCUUACAUGUAGUUCAGAAGUUUAGUCCAUUAUCAUGGUGGGAAACAUGGCAGCAUGCAAUGCUUGAAAAGGAGCUGAGACUUCUAUAUCUUCAUCUACAAGCAACAAGAAGGGACUCCCACCUUAGGCCGAGCCUGACCAUGUGUGAGACCUCAAAGCCCACCUCCACAGUAACACACUUCCUCUGACAAGGACACACCUCCUAUUAGUACCACUCCCUUAUGGGCCAAGCAUUUAAACACAUGAUUCUAUGGGUACCAUUCCUAUUCAAACCAUCACAACAGUUAAAUGCUAAGUUAAGCCUUCCACCCCAAUCCACAUGGUAGGGAUAGAACUUGUGGCGUAUGCUAGUCAUCCCAUUCUUUACCACCGAGCUGCAUCCCAGCCCAACUAGGUUGAACAAGGGUUGACUGAAUUUCAGAGUACUUCCUAAACUUAGUUUGUGUAAAGUUUAUACACUGAAUGAAAGAAAGCUCUUGCUUCUCUGAACCACAUCAGGACACAUUUCUUCUUCCAUUCAUGCAUGUUUUAGAGCCCAGGCUUAUGAUGCUAUCCUAUCUUGUACCUGGUUU
ensembl:lncRNA